GAUGAACGCUAGCGGCAGGCUUAAUACAUGCAAGUCGAGGGGCAGCAGGACUGUAGCAAUACAGUUGCUGGCGACCGGCAAACGGGUGCGGAACACGUACGCAACUUACCCUUGUCUGGGGCAUAGCCCACCGAAAGGUGGAUUAACUCCCCAUAAGAUAGUGGUGUGGCGUCACACAGCUAUUAAAACUGAGGUGGACAAGGAUGGGCGUGCGGCUGAUUAGGUAGUUGGUGCGGGUAACGGCCCACCAAGCCUGCCAUCAGUAACUGGUGUGAGAGCACGACCAGUCACACGGGCACUGAGACACGGGUCCGACUCCUACGGGAGGCAGCAGUAAGGAAUAUUGGUCAAUGGAGGCAACUCUGAACCAGCCAUGCCGCGUGGAGGAUGAAGGCCCUCUGGGUUGUAAACUUCUUUUACAGGGGACGAAACACUUCUAUUCUUAGGAGCUUGACGGUACCCUGGGAAUAAGCACCGGCUAACUCCGUGCCAGCAGCCGCCGUAAUAC
rnacentral:rRNA from 1 species